UGUAUGUACCCGUUCACAUUACCCUGUUUCACUCACCUGUAACCCCCGCCCUUGAGCGGGGUGUGAGUAUAAAGAUUCAGUUACACCUGUCCGAGCCAGACCGGAUGAAGUGUCAGAUGACGUGAAACAGAGCUGUCGUCUAGCCACACCCACCCGCUCCCUCACCCACGCCAGCACCCGCACGAUCCCGCUGUCUUUUGUGAUCAAUCUGAAGUUAACACAAUAAAGACAUUUCAGCGAUUGGUAAACAAGGGCCCUUAUUUACUAAGAGUGGAGUUUUCAUUGUGGGUUUUUGUUUCCGACAUAUAUUUUUAUAUGACUUAGACAGACAAAGACAAAGAAGUCCUGCCUCUGAAAGAGGUCCAACAAGAUGGAAACCAUAAGAGCCAUGUAAGAACAAUGUAGAUCCCAGCAAUUCGGACUGAUCACAUGGUACUGAACUAUGGCUGCCCAUGACGAUGCAAUGAUGGACCAACCAGCUUUCCUAGGAGCAGAAACGAGAUUCUUACAUAGACUUGAUGAGUUCUGAGGAUAUUUCCAAUGCAGUGCCUAAUCCAGUGUCCAUUUUCCUCUUUAUCCACAAUUGCCUUCAACGUGUUCCCCCCAAGGAUACCAGUUUUAGAUACUGACGGACUGCGGCUUCAAUUCAUACGUACCCGGGUAGGGGUGAUAUGCAUCAACUCAAGAUGUAUACAAGGAUCGGUCUAAUGCCAACUUCAUAGCGAAUCAUCCUUUACCGAUCAACCAGAAGAGAGGUUUAAUGAAGCAAAUACUGAUAGCCAUCUAGAGGAUAACAAACAAAUAGGAAAAAAUAAAGAUAUUAUGCACAGAAUUGGCAGAACAAAAGAUAGCGACUAUUAAAGGAAAUGCAUUACGAAUUGUAGCUCAGUGCUUGCACAGACCAGCUGGUGAGUGAAAGACAAGGCCUUGGCUGGCUUGGUAAGUGACAUGAACACAAGAUGCUAUUUGAUUUUUAAUCUAAAAUUGUGUCCAGUAAGUCAAUGUACAUCUGUCAUUUGUGUGGUA